rnacentral:lncRNA from 1 species
AUUUUUUUGGCAUGAUCCGCAUUUUUACAUUUUUUUUGUUUUGGAGCAUUUUUUAAAAGGAUGCGGUUUGUAUAGAGCUGAGGCUCUAAACAAUCAAAUUAGAGCCCACUUUCAAAUAGUAUCGAGAAAUGUGGUUCCAAUAUUGGAAAUAUUUGUGAUAGCUUUAAAAUAUAUUUUCAUCUUUAAUUAUAAAACUUAAAGUUUAAAAAAUAGUGUAGAUCGAGUAGAUCUAUGAAAAUUUGAAAAUCUUGAAAAUUGACGGUCCAAAAAUGCAUUACAAGAUGCACUAUUUUCAAAACUUGAAAUCCAUUUUUUUCUCAUGUCCAUGCAUCUUGAUGUCGAGAUGAUCAAUUUGAGGACAUUUAGGCAUCAAAACAACCUCCUCUAGUGAAAUUUCUGAGGUAGGCUCUAAUUUGAUUGUUUAGAGCCUAGGCUCUAUAUAAACUUUUUACUUUUUUAAAAUAUCCCCAAUUAUAAGUCAAAUUCUUUUAAAAUCCAUUUUAUAUACUUUUUAAAGCUUAUUGGAAAAUUUGAAUGUUGUUUUUGGUUUUAUUUAACUUCUAGCAGAUUCAAUUUAUUUUUCAAAAUUUUAUAUUUUUUGAAUUUAUCUAGGCUUUUGGCUGUGUAUAGGACUUGGUUGAGUCCACUCAGUCUCUGCUGAGUCCCUUGGCCAAGGUGAGUUCCUAAUCAUUGGCUUGCAUAUUGCUUAUGGUAGAUUAUUGAAAGUUCACACCUUCAAAACUUUUCUGGUACUUGUGUUGCCCUUGAUUUGGUGUGGCUACAUAGAAAGCCUAGCUUUCUUCUAUUCAUCUCAUUGUUUCUUUGAAAAUAUGAAUUGUUUUCACAAGUUAGAGAACCUUUCAUUUCGGUUAACUUUGGGUCGAAGAUCAUUGUGAAGCUUUCUAUUCGUGUAUGUGUGUAUGUAUUGUUUAUGAAAUUCUUUUAAAAUCUCUUUUAAAUGUUGGGUCUUUAAUGACAAUUAAUAUGGUUUUCUUGAAACGGAUGGGCUUGCUGUAAGAACUUUCUAGGAGGGUGGAGAUAAGCCUGUUGAAGCAAAUAAUAUUGAGCAGUACGAUGUUGCCAUUGUCGGAGGAGGCAUGGUUGGCAUGGCUCUUGCUUGUACUCUAGGUAAUUAUUAUCACCCAUUGAUCGUCUUUUCAAUUGCAUAAACUUUCACUAUAUUGAAAUUAAGUCCUGUCUAGUGUUGUCUAGAAAAUGGUGUGUCAUUUCAGGAAUAACUGUUAUAAUGCUUUUGAACAUGACUGAAAUCAAGAAUCAGCCUUUGUGGAGAAAAACACCUUAAUUUUUGGUGCACAUCAUUGAUCAUAAUCAUGAAAUAGAACAAUAUUAGCAAUUGAAAACUAAAUAAAUGUAUUACUGGUUGGCAGUGUAUUGACAUAUAGAUAUAUUUUGAUCACUGUUCCAAUCCUUAUGCCAUUCCAAUUUCGGUUUGAUGAGCAGAUGAAAGUGUGGUCUGAUUUAUUUGCAGCUAUCAGCAAACAGAUGUAGAGGAGGCUGGAUCGUGUGUCUGGCCAAAAAAAAAAAAGCAUAGGAACAUAUAGUCUCCUUGGACGUGGCAAAUCUCUUAUGUGUUGUUUGGAUUCUAGGACUUGCAGAAACGAGUUUUGGGGGCAUUGCUGUUUGGAUAGUUUUUGGAUCAAC